AACGAACGCUGGCGGCGUGGAUAAGACAUGCAAGUCGAGCGCUUAUUUCCUGGUAGCAAUAUUAGGGAGUAGGAGCGGCGCAAGGGUGCGUAACACGUGGAUCAUCUGCCUGGAAGUUCGGAAUAAUCCCGAGAAAUCGGGACUAAUGCCGGAUGUGGUUGAGAGACUAAAGCUGGGGACCGCAAGGCCUGGCGCUUCCAGAUGAGUCCGCGGCCUAUCAGCUAGUUGGCGGGGUAACGGCCCACCAAGGCUAAGACGGGUAGCUGGUCUGAGAGGACGACCAGCCACACUGGAACUGAGACACGGUCCAGACACCUACGGGAGGCAGCAGUAAGGAAUAUUGGUCAAUGGACGCAAGUCUGAACCAGCCAUGCCGCGUGAAGGAUGAAGGUCCUNUGGAUUGUAAACUUCUUUUAUCUGGGACGAAACACUCUUAUUCUUAAGAGCUUGACGGUACCAGAGGAAUAAGCACCGGCUAACUCCGUGCCAGCCGCC
rnacentral:rRNA from 1 species